rnacentral:rRNA from 1 species
GACGAACGCUGGCGGCGUGCUUAACACAUGCAAGUCGAACGAUGAAGCUGGAGCUUGCUCCGGUGGAUUAGUGGCGAACGGGUGAGUAACACGUGAGCAAUCUGCCCUUGACUCUGGGAUAACUGCGGGGAACUGUAGCUAAUACCGGAUACGAGACCUGAAGGCAUCUUCGGGUCUGGAAAGAAUUUCGGUCAAGGAUGAACUCGCGGCCUAUCAGCUUGUUGGUGAGGUAAUGGCUAACCAAGGCGACGACGGGUAGCCGGCCUGAGAGGGUGACCGGCCACACUGGGACUGAGACGCGGCCCAGACUCCUACGGGAGGCAGCAGUGAGGAAUAUUGCACAAUGGGCGAAAGCCUGAUGCAGCAACGCCGCGUGAGGGAUGAAGGCCUUCGGGUUGUAAACCUCUUUUAGCAGGGAAGAAGCGAAAGUGACGGUACCUGCAGAAAAAGCACCGGCUAACUACGUGCCAGCCGCCGCUUAA